CUGGCUCAGAACGAACGCUGGCGGCGUGGCUAAGACAUGCAAGUCGCACGGAAAGGCUUUUCCGAUCCUUCGGGUGAAGAAAAAGCACUCGAGUGGCGAAAGGGCGAGGAACACUUGGGUAACGUACCCCCGACACAGGGAUAGCCGUGGGAAACUGCGGAUAAUACCUGAUGACAUCCGAUAACUGCAGGGUUGUCGGAUCAAAGGAUGGCCUCUACUUGUAAGCUAUCGGUCGAGGAGCGGCCCAAGUCCUAUCAGCUUGUUGGUGAGGUAAUGGCUCACCAAGGCAACGACGGGUACCGGGACUGAGAGGUUGACCCGGCGCAUUGGGACUGAGACACUGCCCAGACUCCUACGGGAGGCUGCAGUAACGAAUAUUGGACAAUGGGCGCAAGCCUGAUCCAGCGACGCCGCGUGUAGGAUGAAGUCCUUCGGGAUGUAAACUACUGUCAGGGACCACCACGCAAUACGGGUUAAUACCUCGUAACGCUGAGGAAUCCCAGAGGAAGUCACGGCUAACUUCGUGCCAGCAGCCGCGGUAAGACGAAGGUGGCAAGCGUUGUUCGGAAUCACUGGGCUUAAAGAGCAUGUAGGCGGAUGAUCAAGCGUCUUGUGAAAGCCCUCGGCUCAACCGGGGAAUUGCUUGGCGAACUGGUCAUCUUGAGGCAGGUAGGGGCAAGUGGAACUCUUGGUGGAGCGGUGGAAUGCGUAGAUAUCAAGAGGAACGCCAGAGGCGAAGGCGACUUGCUGGGCCUGUCCUGACGCUGAGAUGCGAAAGCCAGGGGAGCGAACGGGAUUAGAUACCCCGGUAGUCCUGGCCCUAAACGAUGUCCACUAG
rnacentral:rRNA from 1 species